UGGUUGACUAUCGUUAGGAGGCUAAGU
rnacentral:piRNA from 1 species